CCUACGGGGGGCAGCAGUAGGGAAUAUUGCUCAAUGGGGGAAACCCUGAAGCAGCAACGCCGCGUGCAGGAUGAAGGUUUUCGGAUUGUAAACUCCUUUUGUUAGAGAAGAUAAUGACGGUAUCUAACGAAUAAGCACCGGCUAACUCCGUCCCAGCAGCCGCGGUAAUACGGAGGGUGCAAGCGUUACUCGGAAUCACUGGGCGUAAAGAGGGCGGAUGCGGGAUAGCAAGUCAGAUGUGAAAUCCUAUGGCUUAACCAUAGAACUGCAUUUGAAACUGUUAUUCUAGAGUAUGGGAGAGGUAGGUGGAAUUCUUGGUGUAGGGGUAAAAUCCGUAGAGAUCAAGAGGAAUACUCAUUGCGAAGGCGACCUGCUAGAACAUAACUGACGCUGAUGCGCGAAAGCGUGGGGAGCAAACAGGAUUAGAUACCCUUGUAGUC
rnacentral:rRNA from 1 species